AACGAACGCUGGCGGCAGGCUUAACACAUGCAAGUCGAACGCCCCGCAAGGGGAGUGGCAGACGGGUGAGUAACGCGUGGGAAUCUACCUAGUUCUACGGAACAACUGAGGGAAACUUCAGCUAAUACCGUAUACGCCCUCAGGGGGAAAGAUUUAUCGGAAUUAGAUGAGCCCGCGUAAGAUUAGCUAAUUGGUGAGGUAAUGGCUCACCAAGGCGACGAUCUUUAGCUGGUCUGAGAGGAUGAUCAGCCACACUGGGACUGAGACACGGCCCAGACUCCUACGGGAGGCAGCAGUGGGGAAUACUGGACAAUGGGCGCAAGCCUGAUCCAGCCAUGCCGCGUGAGUGAUGAAGGCCUUAGGGUUGUAAAGCUCUUUCAGUGGGGAAGAUAAUGACGGUACCCACAGAAGAAGCCCCGGCUAACUUCGUGCCAGCCGCCGCGGUAA
rnacentral:rRNA from 1 species